CAAGUCAGCAGCUCUUGUCGAGGAGGUACAGUAAAGUGGAGCCACAUAGAGGAGUUUUAUAAUAAAGAUCGCGAGAAUCCCAACCGUGUUUGCUCCAGCUUUAACCCAGCACCACUUACAACCAGUACAGAAUGGCAAACAGAAAAUCAAAGAGCGCCUAGCAGAUCAAAUUUUAAGCCAUUCGGUUGCAGUUGGAAUAUUUGCCAAAAUGAAUGAUGACAAGACGCCCCUGGAACAACUGUCGCUGGACAAGCUUUUCGACUGAACGGAGAUUCGACCGACAGGAAAGAGGUAUAAACACUUAUUAUAAUAAUACUUGACAUCUGUAAUUGUGGAUGUGAUCCAAACCCCACGUCGGUCCAAUUAAAAACUAGCUUAGGCAAUUAGUAGCAGCGUUUUUAAUACGCUGAAAUUAUUAUUCUUCGAAGACACUAAACCUAGCUGCGCAACUGAAUAUCCCUGU